UCUCCAGGAGUCUGAGGGGCAGG
rnacentral:miRNA from 1 species